AAAGUAAAUAGCAUGCUGUUAGCAUUAAAGAAAACCCAAUCGGGGCAGCGGGAAGCACUCCAGCCUCCUUGCAAGCUUGGGGUGCCUCAUUCUCCCCGUGCCCCUUCUCCCAGCUGGGUCUGAGCCCCCAUCCCCCGGCUCCUCAGUUCUGCUCCUCCCAGCUGCUCUCUCCAUCUCCCCCGGUGGCCUCUCUUUCUCUCUACCCUAUCUGCCUCAGCUUCCAGGUCUCUACUGGUCCCUAGGAAGCACUUUGACCUCUGCUUUCCCCUCAAAUGCUGUGGAUCGAGCCUCCCCCAACCCCACCAUCCCCCGCCAAAGGCGGCUGCUGACCGAGAGCGCUCACUCAGCCAGUAACUAGGUCAGCUCUGCUGAGGAGAGGGGCGGCAUCGAGCUCAGGACCCACCCAGUUCUUCGGGAGACGGGGAGUCCACCAGCAGAUGGGAUGUGGAACGGGGAGCCUCUAAUGGCGCCUGCUGGUGAGGUGGGGUGCCUGCGGCCGCGCAGGGAAAGGGACCAGCUCCCACCUCGAGGCUCUGCCUGCCUCAGGUAAGAAGGAUCUGGGCUUCUCUGGCUGAAUGCGUGAGUCCUUGGGAAGCCAGGGGAACCCCCAAAACCCCGGCUUCGAGCCCUCCUCCCCGGCUCUCCUCCCCGGUCAUGCUCCCCGGCCGUGCUCUCCAGACGUGCUCCCUAGCCCCCAGAGCCUACCCACCCCCUGAGGAAUCAGGGCAGAAGUGAGGGUCUGGGGAGUACAAAUGAUCAUAGUGGCUAAAAAUUUCCACCACCCCCCGGUCAUCCAGGCAUUUGAAAUGGGAAUUCACCCACCUUUUCUCCCUUCUUGGACCCUCGGGAAAUGUCCCCCCUUCCCAAGGACUGGGCUGAAGUCUUGGCUCAUGGGUUGUGGGACUCUGGAGAGGAGCAGCUCAGGGCUGGAGGCUCAAACAUCCAAGCGAGGACCCCGGCUCUCAGAGCCCCUGUCCCCCUUGCUGGCAACUAGACUCAAAGCUGAAGCUCGUGGGGACUCGACUCAGAAGCGGGGCUACCUAGGAGCUGAGGGGGCCCCUCUGGGCUGUCCCGGGCGCUGGGACGGGGAAGGGCUGCUUACUGCAGAAGGGCCUCCACCACGGCUUUCUGGUGGGCUGCCUCCUCGGGGCUGAGGUUCUCCAGCUCUUUGAGGAUGGGUGGCGUGAAGUCUUCCCCAUCGUCGUCCGUCUCGUCCUCGGAGCCCCGAGUCUCUCCCAGCCCAUUGGGCAGCUCAGGCAGCUCCCCUCGACCGCUGCCGCAUGCCUCCCCCUUGUCCAGGGGGCCAUCUCCAGCCAGCAGGUAGGGCCCCGGCUCACCCAGCGCCUGGAUCAGUGCCUCUUUGCUCAGCCCUGACUCGAGCAGGGCCGCCAGGAGCUCCGUCUGCAGCUGACUCAGUUUAGAGACCAUGGCUCAGCUGCCCCGGGGCCACGCGGCCUGGGUCCACCACGCCAGCCGCCUCCCCCACCGCGUGGGUUGCGUUUGCCUGCCGGCGGGUGGACACAAACCAAACACCUUGCACCUACUGCCCCCCCAAAACCCCACUAGCCAAGCCCUGUGGGCACCCCCAACCCCCAACCCUGGCCCCAGCGGCCAGUGAAUCAGGGCCCCUGCCUGCUCUGUUUACAUUGGAGCUGGGGAAAUUCUCCAAGGUUCAUAUUUAUCCGUGUGCUUAGCGAAGGGACUGAACUUUGGACUUCAGCCCUGCAAAGUGCAGGCCUCAUGGCAGCAGAGAGGGGCAGGGAGCUAUGGCCUUCCAUGGGAGUGGGCAGAGGGGAGGGCAGGGGCAGCGCAGAUGAGGGGCCCUGAGCAGCUGGGAUGGAAGGUGCUGGGAGCGGGGGAGGCCAUCAGGUGAGCAGCAUUGGGUCCCACCCCCAAAAGAACCUUGUCAGGGCAUCAGGCUGAGACAGGAGAGCAAAAAACGCUUGCUGCUGGCCAGGCGCGGGGGGCGCAUGCCUGUAAUCCCAGUGCUUAGGGAGGCUGAGGUGAGCGGAUCACCUGAGGUUGGUAGUUUGAGACCAGCCUGGGCAACAUACUAAAAAUAAAAAAUUAGUCAGGCGUGGUGGCACACACCUGUGAUCCCAGCUACUCAGGAGGCUGAAGCAGGAGAAUCGCUUGAACCCAGGAAGCGGAGGUUGCAGUGAGCUGAGAUCAUGCCAUUGCACUCCAGCCUGGGCAACGAGAGCAAAACUCCAUCUCAAAAAAAAAAAAAAAAAAAUGCUUGCUGCUUACGGAAGCAGCUGCAGCAGGGAACUCCAGACAGACAGCUGGGCUAGCUCUUCUCAAGGGCAGAGGAAGCGCACGGCCAUUUUGGGACCCUUCCGCCCCACUCCCAGCCUGACACCAGGCCUCCCUGUAGGAAAAUAUGUUGACUACCAUGUGCUGAGAACAGGGUGGGGGUCUGUAAGCACAACUUCACUUCAUUGCAUUCUGCUACCAACUCUGAGUAGGUACCAGGAUUAUCCCCGUUUUAUAGGGGAGGAAAUUGAGGCUCUAAGAGGUAAGCAACGUGUCCAAGGCCACACAGCCAGCAAGGAACAAGACUUGCAAGGUGAGACUGAGUUGAGGCGAGUGUGGCACUUGCCCUGGGUGCAAAUUUAUUUUGUAUUUUUUGAGCCAGGUUCUCACUCGGUCACCCAGGCUGGAGUGCAGUGGCUCGAUCAUGGCUAACUGCAGCCUUGACUUCCUGGGUUUAGGUGAUCCUCCUGCCUCCAUCACCCAAGUACCCAAGUAGCUGGCGCUGCAGGCACACACCAUCACGCCCUGCUUAUUUUGUGUGUAUGUUGUGUGUAUUUUGGGGUGUGUGUUUCAGAUGGAGUCUCGCUCUGUCACUCAGGUUUGGAGUGCAGUGGAGCGAUCUUGGCUCACUGCAACCUCUGCCUCCUAGGUUCGUGAUUCUCCUGCCUCAGCCUCCCAAGUAGCUGAGAUUACAGGCACAUGCCACCACACUCAGCUAAUUUUUUUGUAUUCUUCACAGAAAUGGAGUUUCACCAUGUUGGGCAGGCUGGUCUCAAAUUCCUGACCUCAAGUGAUUCGCCUGCCUCGGCCUCCCAAAGUGCUGGGAUUACAGGUGUGAGCCACCGUGCCUGGCCUUGUGUGUCUAUUUUUUCUGGACAUGCGGUUUUGCUAUGCUGCCUACAUUGGUCUCAAACUCCUGGGCUCAAACCAUCCACCCACCUCAGCCUCCCAAAGUGCUAGCAUUACACACAUGAGCCACCAUGCCUGGCAGCCCCAGGUGCAAAUUUUAAAGGAGUGCCAAAAAACCCAAUCAUCAAGGUAAAUAACAUUUUUAUGCACUAUAUUUUAAAAACUAAAAUUAAUGCAAGACCCCAAAGAACUUAAAACAGAUGUCUACACAAAAACUUCUGCAUGAAUGCUCAUAGCAGCUUCAUUCACAAGAGCCGAAAGAUGGAAAAAGCAUAAAUGUUCAUCACCUGAUGAAUGAAUGAAACAUGGCACAACCGUGCAAUGGUGUAGACACGCGUAUGAAUACAUACAUCUUUUUUUUUUAUUUUUCAACUGCAAUAGAGAAAGAUUGUUGCUGUUUCCUUGUUGUUUGAGAUGGAGUCCCACUCCGUUGCCCAGGCUGGAAUGCAGUGGUGUAAUCUCGGCUCACUGCAACCUUCGCUUCCCAGGUUCAAGCGAUUCUCCUGCCUCAGCCUCCCAAGUAUCUGGAACUACAGGUGUGUACCACCAAGCCCAGCUAAUUUUUGUAUUUUUGGUAGAGAUGGGGUUUUACCAUGUUGGCCAGGCUGGUCUCGAGCUCCUCACCUUAGGUGAUGUGCCUACCCUAAGCCCCCCAAAGUGCUGAGAUUACAGGCAUGAGCCACUGUGUCCAGCCGAUGCAAUGGCAUAUUCUUUGGUCAUAUAAAGGAAUGGCGUUCCCAUAUAUGCCAAGGCACGAGCCUUGAAAACAUGAUACUAAGUGAAAAAGCAGUCACUAAAGACCACAUCGCGUCUGGGUCCAUUUAUAUGAAAAGUCCAGAACAGGCAACUCCAGAUAGACAGAAAGGAGAUUCGUGGUUGUCAGAGCCUGAGUGGGAGACAGAAUGGGGCCGGCUGCUCCGUGGGCGCUGCGGCUUCUCUAGGAUGAUGGAAAUGUUCUGUAAUGGAUUGUGGUGAUAUCUCACAACUCUGUACUAAAACCCUCUGAAUUGCACGUUUUAAAAGGGCGAGUUCGAUAGUAUGUAAAUCAAUACAAAAAUUGUUUUCAUUUUAUUGAGAUAUACUUAUCCUAUGAUUUCAUGUGUGCUUUCUGAGAUUUGUUUUUAUUUUUAUUUUUUUCAUUUUUAUUUAUUUUUAUUUUUUGAGACAGGAUCUGGCUCUGUUGCCCAGGCUAGAAUGCAAUGGCAUGAUCUCAGCUCACUACAACCUCUGCCUCCUGGGCUCAAAUCAUCCUCCCACCUCAGCCUUCCAAGUAGCUGGGACUACUUGGUGUUCGCGACCACAUCCAGCUCAUUUUUUUUUUUUUUUUUUUUGUGCGUUUGGUAGAAACAGAGUUUCACUGUGUUUCCCAGGGUGGUCUCAAACUCCUGGACUCAAGAGAUCCUCCCACCUCAGCCUCCCAAAGUGCUGGAAUUAUGUAGGCAUGAGCCAUCAUGCCCAGUCUUAAAAAGUAUUUUUUAACUAAUGUAAAAUAAUCUGUGAUAAACAAAAUAGACAGGCCCUGCCCUCACCACCAGCCAGAUGUGGCUACCAAGCAUUUGAAAGAUGGUUUAUGUCACUUGUUGAAAUGAUAAUUUUUUAAAAAUAUAUUGAGUUAAAUUUUUAAAUUAAGGAAAUUUAAACUGGACACAGUGGCUCACACCUGUGAUCCCAGCACUUUUGGGAGGCUUAGGUGGGUGGAUCAGGUGGGAGGUCAGGAGUUCGAGACCAGCCUGAUCAAAUGGUGAAACCCCGUCUCUCCUAAAAAUAAAAAAUUGGCCUCAGAAGGCUGAGGCAGGAGAAUCACUUGAACCUGAGAGGCAGAGGUUGCAGUGAGCCAAGAUCACACCACUGCACUCCAUCCUGGGCAACACAGCAAGACACCAUCUCAAAAAAAAAAAAAAGAAAAGAAAAAUGCAAAAGUUAACUUUUGGCUGGGCACAGUGGCUCACGCCUGUAAUCCCAGCACUUUGGGAGGCUGAGGUGGGUAGAUCAUGAAGUCAGGAGUUCAAGACUGGCCAAGAUGGUGAAACCCCAUCUCUACUAAAAAUACAAAAAUUAGCCAGGCGUGGUGGCGAGCACCUGUAAUCCCAGCUACUCGGGAGGCUGAGGUAGAUAAUUACUUGGACCCAGGAGCUGGAGGUUGCAGUGAGCUAAGAUUGCACCACUGCACUCCAGCUGGGCAAUAGAGUGAGACUGUCUCAAAAAAAAAGUUCACAUUUAGAAUAAUUUAAAAUUAGAUUUAAUUAAAAUUAUAUUAUAUAUAUGUUAAUAUAAUGUUAUAUUUCAUUUAAAAUAAUUUGGUUUAAAUUAAAAUUUUAUUUAUACAAAUAACUUUUUAUUUUAAAAAUUAAAGAACUCCUGGCCUCAAGUGAUCCUCCUACCUCAGCAUCCCAAGUAGCUGGGACUACAGGUAUGCACCAUCAUGCCCAGCUUGCUCAUUCAUUCAUUCAUUUAUCUUUUUUGUUUGUUUGUUUUUUGAGACAGGGUCUCCUUCUGUUGCCCAGGCUGGAGUACAGUGGCACAAUCUUGGCAAACUGCAACCUAUACCUCUGGGGCUCCCGUGAUCCUCCCACCUCAGCCUCUGCAGUAGCUGGGACUACAAGCAUGCGCCACCAUGGCUGGCUAAUUUUUGUGUUUUUUGUAGAGACGAGGUUUUGCCAUGUUGUCCAGGCUGGUCUCGAACCCCUGGGCUCAAGCAAUCCUCCCACCUCAGCCUCCCAAAAUAUUACUCAUAUAGCCGGUAAAGUAUUUCGUUCUAAGAACAACUCUAUGAAUGAGGAACCAUUAUAAUUCCCCUUCUCCAGGGAGGAAAGAGAGGCUCAGAGAGGUUAAAUGACUGCUCAGAGUCCCUCAGAGCUGGGCGUUAAGUCCCCCUGAGCCAGGCAGGCUGGCUAUGCAGGACAAGUUGGCAGCCCUUGCUGUAAGCAGAGUGGUACCCUCUUUCAUCCAGUGCACUUAUUUUUUAUUUUUAUUUUUGAGACAGUCUCUCUUUAUUGCCCAGGCUAGAGUGCAGUGGUGUGAUCUUGGCUCACUGCAACCUCUGCCUCCUGGGUUCAAGAAAUCCUCCUACCUCAGCCUCCUGAGUAGCUGGGACUACAGGCGCAUGCCACCACACCCAGCUAAUUUUGUGUUUUUAGUAGAGACGGGGUUUCACCAUGUUGGCCAGGCUGGUCUCGAACUCCUGACCUCAGGUGAUCUGCCCUCCUCAACCUCCUAAAGUGCUGGGAUUUACAGGCAUGAGCCACCACACCCGGCCAAGUGCAUAUUUUUGUAAACCCCCAUUCAAGUUGCUGUGAGAUUGGGCCACUUACUGCUGGUGACAGCAUUCUCAAGUACAGGCUAAAGGACAGGGAAGAGGCUGUGUGCUGUUCCUUCGUGGCUUUGAGGCUCUCCUGCUUACUCUCCUUGCUGCCUGCAGCCGCCCCUUGCUGACUUUCCCUUUCCGGGGAGCCGUAGGGAGCAAGAAGGGUGGGGCCUGACUCCUGUCCCCAGCAUGUAAACUCAUGAACUGCUGGGUCCUCAGGCAGCUAGGUGGCUGAGCAUUUGAGUCUGGGACAGCAGGUGGAUUUGGUGGGAGAGGGAAUGACAGAGUUUGGGGAGGAGCCUCCAGAGAGUCUAAGGAGAGAGGUACACAAGCAGAAAGUUCCAGCCCCAGCCUGCCCUUCCCCCACACUCAGGAGCCAAAGCUGAAUUAACUCAAGGUCAGGAGUGGCAUUUGCAUUCUUGAGAAUCACUGCAAAAAAGAGCUGUAGUCAGGGCUGAGUGGUUAAGGCAACAGACUAGGGAA